rnacentral:lncRNA from 13 species
GCCUGGCAUGGAGUCUAUGAAGUCUGCUGGCCAAGGAGCCUGCAGUCAGUCCCAUAACUGUUUGGAUUCCAACUGACAGUUUGAAUGCAGGUUCAGUGCAAUCUCUGCUUCCAGAAGAUCAUUCUGGCAGUGAGGUGAGGGCAGAUUGUAGGGUGUCUGGCUGGAGGGAGGGAGACCUCCUGGGAGGCAAUGGCAACAAUUCAGGCAAGCAGGUGAUGGCCAGGACAAGGGCUGGCAUGGGUGACCUAGAGAGGAACUGAGGAAGAAGAGGAGCACAGCGUAAUUGGCGAAAGAAAGCAACCCGGGAAAGGGAGGAGUUAAAGGUGAUGCUCAGGUUUCUAGAUUAAGGAACAGGGUAUACAGCUGUGCCCUACAGGGAAGUGAGAAAUCCAGAUUUGGGUGGAAUCUAAGUUCAGUUUUAAGGACACAAUUUGAGGUGCCCACAGGAUGUUCAAGCAGGGAGGAUGGUAGAUACCUUCAUUUGCUCAUUCCCCUACGUGGACAAAUGAGAUAGACAGCCUCCCUGGCCUUGGGAGAUUCUUUCUGGUGGUGACACAGACAUAAACAAAUAAGUCAUGGAAAAGGGAUAGAUCACCAAGUAUUGUGGAGGAAGAAAACGAGAUGGCGUGCGAGAAGGGGACUGGAGGUCAGCCCGAGGGUGCUCUCUAGGUGGACUGCGGCAAACACCCUUUCCUCAGCCUGCUCAAACCCUCUCCCCAACCCGAGUGGGCCCCGCAGGAGCAAGUGGGGAGCAGAGCCUUGCUCAGGUGAGUGGUGGGGCCCGGCCUGUUCCCCAGAGCCCAGGCUUCUCUGGCUCAGAGCAAAGCCCCGGGGUGCUGGGAUUCAGUAUCUGCUCCCGCUACCCUGGAUAUGAGCUUUCAAGAACAACUCCUCAUUGCGGUCUCUGCCCCUUGCAUUGAGCGCCAACCCACAUCGCGGCUAAGCAAACGCGGGCGCAGUGGACAGAGGGGUGACCCGUCGCUGAGCUGAAGGCUGCAGCGACACAAAUAAACAGUAUGGCUCCUGCUCUCCA